UGUACUUUAGUCAGACUUCUUCUCACAGACGCUCACUGUAAAUUCAGAAACUGUUAUCAUCAAACCUGUCAACUCACUGUCUUCACACAGCGAAGGAAACCGUCCAAGCUACUUCAGUGUGACAUCUGACGUCUGCCCGCUGAUUCAUCGUCAUGACUGCUGCUGUGCUGGCCGUUGUGAUUAUAGUUCUCUUCUUCUUGGCCCUCUGCCUUAUCCAUCGCUAUGGAGAUUUGUGGAAGCAGCAGCAGAUGGUCCUGUUCGGGACACUGCUGUCCUGGUACCUCUGCUUCCUUAUUGUCUUCGUCCUGCCCCUCGAUGUCAGCAUGGCUGCUGUUGCCCUUCAUGCAGUCUUAUGCUCGAUCUGGAGCUUUCAGCAGAGUUGGGAAGAUUAAAACAGCUCUCAGCUGCCAACACCUGGGGCCUCUUCCUUCUGGUGCUGCUACUCGGCUACGGCUUGGUUGAAAUUCCGCGUUUGUAUUGGCUUUCUUCUUCCCUUGGACACCUGCAGGCCAAAACCUACUUCAAGGUAGCAAAAAUGGCUGUUGAGAAGGCAUGAGCAGAGGAGAACCUAGUUGAUGUGAUCGAGGUGAGUCCAGUUCAGAGGAGGCCUUCAACAAACGACUGAUCUGAAAAACACAAUCCACAUAAGUAUGAGGUCAUAUCUGCUGAGCAGAGACAAAGUCAGACUCAGGUCCAAUGGGUUAUUUUGUUAGAGCAGACUUUUCAUCUGGAAGAUGUAGCAAAAAGCCAAAACAGUCCAGUCCUACAUUUCAACCACAGCUUUCCCUCAACACGGAGUCACAACUGGAUCCAUCAAUUCAUCUACACACCAUCUGUGGAGUGGUACUGGGAAUGUGUGUUAAGACAGGGUGCCUACAGGCUGCUGGCUGUUCUGCUGUGUCUCCUAUCUGCGGUUGUGGUCUGGUCAGAGUGCACCUUCUUUAGCACACGCCCCAUCCUUUCCCUCUUCAUUGUCUUCAUACAGAUGGCUGAAAAACAAUAGAAUUACAUGUUUAUUGAGGUUGUUUUGUUGUCUCACCUCUCCUUUGUGUCUAAACUUUCUGGGCCUGAUCCACAUGAACUGCUCAUUGUGCCAUUUCUCAUCAGGACAGAAUCCAAACGUCAUAUACUUCUAUCAUGGGAUCUGGCAUAUCAUGGGAAAGACAGCAUGUGCUGUCUUUUAUAUCUGGUGGAUUCUACAUCUACUAUCCCAUGUUGACUUUACUGCUGUGCUUUGCCACUUAUUUUAG